UACGAAGGGGGCUAGCGUUGCUCGGAAUCACUGGGCGUAAAGCGCACGUAGGCGGCUUCUUAAGUCAGGGGGGAAAUCCUGGAGCUCAACUCCAGAACUGCCCUUGAUACUGAGGAGCUUGAGUCCGGGAGAGGUGAGUGGAACUGCGAGUGUAGAGGUGAAAUUCGUAGAUAUUGGGUGGAACACCGGUGGCGAAAGCGGCUCACUGGCUCGGUUCUGACGCUGAGGCGCGAAAGCGUGGGGAGCAAACAGG
rnacentral:rRNA from 1 species